GAUGAACGCUGGCGGCGUGCCUAAUACAUGCAAGUCGAGCGAACGGACGAGAAGCUGGCUUCUCUGAUGUUAGCGGCGGACGGGUGAGUAACAUGUGGAUAACCUACCUAUAAGACUGGUAUAACUUCGGGAAACCGGAGCUAAUACCGGAUAAUAUUUUGAACUGCAUGGUUCAAAAGUGAAAGACGGUCUUGCUGUCACUUAUAGAUGGAUCCGGGCUGCAUUAGCUAGUUGGUAAGGUAACGGCUUACCAAGGCAACGAUGCAUAGCCGACCUGAGAGGGACGUUCAGCACCCUGUCACUGAGACUCGUCCCACACUCCUAGGGGGGGCAGCGGUCGAAACUCUUACGGAAUGCACGAAUGCCUAAUGGUGCGCCACCGCGUGAGUGCUGACGCACCCAGGCUCGUAGAACUCUGUUAUUCGGAGGGAUGAUAUGUGUAAUUACCUGUGAACAUCUUGACGGUACCUAGUCAAAAAGCCCCGGCUAACUUCGUG
rnacentral:rRNA from 1 species